UUUAGUGCUUCUUGAUCAUAAAUGCAGUCUAUUGUCCAGACAUUUACUGAGCUGUAACCAGGAGUACUGGGUGCUGAGGCUGGAGAGAUUUCCAAGAUUUGAAAGGUACACAGAGACCCAAACAGGAAAUUCUAGUGCAAUGUGGUGCAUGGUGAGAAAGAAAGAACCUCAUGGGGCUAUGGAAAUGUUUAUGGGGGUAGAAGGACACCUAUUCUGGGCUGGCAGGAGACAGUUGGGGAUAGGUGGCAGCCAGGAAAGUUUCCCUAGAGAUGACCCAGAGCUUAGGCUAAUUAGAGAGCCUCGCCUUUCUGACGCCCUUCAUAGGUGGGAACUGUCCAAACUGCAUCACUCUGCAUCCUAGAAGUCUGCAUAUGACUCCUAUCUCUGCCACGACUUUUCUCUUUCCACUUUUUCUCUUCAGACUCAAUAGGCAUUCAGCCUGUUCCACCUGGUCCCUUCCUGCUUCCCACUUUCCAAGGGCAAUAUGGUACAGUGGACAGGCAGUCAGCAUUGAUUGUGAGACUUGAGCCUCAGUUUUCACAUCUGUGAGAUGGCACUACUCAUAGUACUUUUCUUAUUAAAAAAGUAUUUUUUGUGCUAACAAAAAGCUAGCGCAGAUGGCAUAUUAUGGACCAACACUAUGGUCAGCUCUUUACAUACAAAUUAUCGCUUCCUUUCAUUUUCACAACAACCCAGUGAAGUAGUUCAAUAUUAUCUCCAUUUUACAUACCUGGGAAAUGACCACAGAAUGCUCAAGCAACUUGCCAAGGGUACCAGCUGGUCAUGCCCUUAUUUCAACAUCUUGUUUCAAGGAUUAGGUAAGACAAUGAGUAUAAAUGCUUAGCAGGGUGCUGGCACACAGCAAGCACUCCAUAAAUGAUCAUUAUUGUGGUCGAGUAUAAACUCUAGUGCAGAGACUCGACUGCUUUGGUCUUGUUUUAUCCCUGGCACCCUGAACUAUACCUGACGCAUAGUAGGUGCUCAAAAUAUAUGGGUUAAUUAUUCAAGAGUUCUUGCUCCUGCUUUUUUGUGUUUUUUGUUUGUUUGUUUUUGUUUUUGUUUUGUUUUGUUUUUGUUUUUUGAGACAGAGUCUCGCUCUGUCACCAGGCUGGAAUGCAGUGAUGCGAUCUUGGCUCACUGCAAUCUCUGCCUCCCGGAUUCAAACCACUCUCCUGCCUCAACCUCCCAAGAAGCUGAGAUUUACAGGCAUGUGCCACCACACCCAGCUAAUUUUUGUAUUUUUAGUAGAGAUGGGUUUUUACCAUGUUGGCCAGGAUGGUCUCAAUCUCCUGACCUUGUGAUCUGCCCACCUCGGCCUCCCAAAGUGCUGGGGUUACAGGCAUGAGCCACCGCACCCGGCCUGCUUUUUUGUUUUAUUCGAUGCUUCGUUUUGUUUUUUUUCCUGCUCCAGACUAGUUUCUUCUCUCUCAGCACCUGUUGAUGUGGGGUCCCUGAAACCUUAAGGACAAGACUGAGAUCAUAUGUGCAAAUCACCAAUAUGGUUUGGCCUUGGGUGGUUUGUCCAACUGCCUCCAUUUUAGUUUUUGCCAAGAUGUUUAAGAAUAUCCUAAGCAACGGCACCUAAGGGAAAUGGUGAAUUCAAAGAUAUUGAAGCUAUUUUGAAGCCCAGUGGUGGAGAAAGGUUCAGAGUAAUGUCCUAAUCAAGCACAUUGAAGAACAUGAGUUUAUUACAAAAUUGAGUCUAUCCUAAAACUCCAUUCAAGUCUUCAAAGUUCUCAGAAAAGAAUCAAGGACUACAUAAUUAGGCUGGGCGCGGUGGCUCACACCUGUAAUCCCAGCAGUAUGGCAGGCUGAGGCGGGUGGAUCACCUGAGGUCAGGAGUUCAAGACCAGCCUGAUCAACAUGGUGAAACUCCGUCUUUGCUAAAAAUAUAAAAAAAGUUAGCCGGGCGUGGUGGUGCAUGACUGUAAUCCCAGCUACUCGGGAGGCUGAG
rnacentral:lncRNA from 1 species